rnacentral:rRNA from 1 species
CCUACGGGGGGCAGCAGUGAGGAAUAUUGGUCAAUGGGCGCGAGCCUGAACCAGCCAAGUCGCGUGAGGGAGGACGGCCCUACGGGUUGUAAACCUCUUUUGCCGGGGAGCGACGGGCGGCACGUGUGGCGCCACUGAGAGUACCCGGAGAAAAAGCAUCGGCUAACUCCGUGCCAGCAGCCGCGGUAAUACGGAGGAUGCGAGCGUUAUCCGGAUUUAUUGGGUUUAAAGGGUGCGUAGGCGGAUCAUCAAGUCAGCGGUAAAAUUGAGAGGCUCAACCCCUUCGAGCCGUUGAAACUGGCGUUCUUGAGUGUAUGAGAAGUAUGCGGAAUGCGUGGUGUAGCGGUGAAAUGCAUAGAUAUCACGCAGAACUCCGAUUGCGAAGGCAGCAUGCCGGCGCUCAACUGACGCUGAUGCACGAAAGUGUGGGUAUCGAACAGGAUUAGAUACCCGUGUAGUC